GACCUUGAAAUACCACCCUUUAAUGUUUGAUGUUCUAACGUUGACCCGUAAUCCGGGUUGCGGACAGUGUCUGGUGGGUAGUUUGACUGGGGCGGUCUCCUCCUAAAGAGUAACGGAGGAGCACGAAGGUUGGCUAAUCCUGGUCGGACAUCAGGAGGUUAGUGCAAUGGCAUAAGCCAGCUUGACUGCGAGCGUGACGGCGCGAGCAGGUGCGAAAGCAGGUCAUAGUGAUCCGGUGGUUCUGAAUGGAAGGGCCAUCGCUCAACGGAUAAAAGGUACUCCGGGGAUAACAGGCUGAUACCGCCCAAGAGUUCAUAUCGACGGCGGUGUUUGGCACCUCGAUGUCGGCUCAUCACAUCCUGGGGCUGAAGUAGGUCCCAAGGGUAUGGCUGUUCGCCAUUUAAAGUGGUACGCGAGCUGGGUUUAGAACGUCGUGAGACAGUUCGGUCCCUAUCUGCCGUGGGCGCUG
rnacentral:rRNA from 1 species